rnacentral:tRNA from 1 species
GGAAUAUAGCUCAGUUGGUAGAGUACCUGCCUUGCAUAUACAAGGCCCUGGGUUCAAUCCCCAGAACCA